rnacentral:antisense_RNA from 1 species
UUUCGCGUUGGGCUUGCGCGCCAUAAUACCGUUUCCUACCGCGUGCAACAGGUGGGUUUUCCCCAGACCGGUGCCGCCAUA